GCGAAGCCCCGGCAGCCGCGGCCUGCAUCCUGGGAGGAGCGCUGGGAGGGCUUGGUCAUCCUCCCGGCAGGGCCAGGCAGGGACCUUCUGGGGGCCCCGUGCGCCCCGCCCCCGCAGGCGGAGAGGCCACCCAGGGUCCAUGGAGAGGACUCACCAGGGAGAGAAGACAGGUGGGCCACUGAGGCGCAGUCUCCCAAAACCCGGGAGAUCCGUAACACCAGGAGAACAGAGGGACAGAGCCGUUUGCAAUGUGACAAACACGGCUUGUUAACCUAAUAGAGGCAGAGGAGGCUGCAGAAUAUCCAAUUAUGAGAGCAGGCCACGCAGCAUGCAGGGUCAGGCCGCUCUCUCAUUUAUCGGGACAGACUCCAUUAGGCCCGUUAAUCUUCUUGAUUAACUGUCCUGAAAGGAUGCCGGUGGGGAGGGGUAGUCCCCCAUGAGCCGGGGAGACAGGAAGGCAGCAGGUGGCGGCCCGCCGGGCCUGGCCCUCACAGCCCCUCCACCCCCAGCCCCAAGGCCAUGAGGCUGCUUCACUCUGCUCUCAGCAAGGAGUGGUCUGUGACUGGGGGCUCAUCUUUGGUUUUCUCUUCAUUCUCCCUGAAACGUUUUUGAUGACUGGCCAGUUCCUGUCGAUGCAUCAUGGAUGGUUUUCUCUGGCACUACGGUCUCAAUUUUUUUCCUGCCUCUCUGAUUCCUUACAGCCCCCAUCGUUGUCUCUCUCCUCGGGACCCGUCAAUGCAGAUGUUCCCCCAAGAGUCAAUUACUUGCCACCUUUUCUUUGUCAGUUCUCCCGUGGGAUCCCACUUAACCCCAUGGUUCAAGUAUCGUGUGAAUAACUCCCAUCUCUGGUCCUCCAGCCCCAAUUUCUCCAGAACGCCAUCUACACUGAAGUUGCCAUGUGACAUCCCUGAUAGGCUCAGGCCACAGCCAGUCAUCUGACCACCCAGUACCAGCUCCUGCCAUCUUAUUCUAGGCAGCCCCAUCCUCCCAGAACCCAGGUCCCAAAUCUCGGGAUCUUCUUUGAUCCUUGAAAUCGGCUGUGGGACCCACAUCCAAUCGAAGACCAAAGUGCAGGAGUCUCUUGGGUCGAACCAAGGAUCAACAGAAUAGGUGGCACUGACCACAUUUGGUGGCACCAGGAGAGCUAGAACUAUGUUGCUUGAGUCUCAACUGGCUGAGAAGCAGAGCUGUCUCCAGCCACUGAGUACUUUUCUCUCACAAGAGACAGCCGGGUAAUCCUCUCCAAAGGCCCUCCUUGGGAUUCAAAUACCUUAAACAAAUCCCAUGAAGAAUGUGGUUGACGGGGCCAUGCAUCAAUGGUUGUAGAUGAUCAACGCCAACACCAAGGCACACGAGAGUUGUGCACACGGCAAACAGGUAUCGGGGGUGAAAUGCGUCAUGCAUGCUCUAGAGGUGACCGCCACAAAGACAAAUAUGGAGCAUCUUGGCAGUAAAUCACGUCCCUCUUACCUGGCAGAUGGCUGAGAUAAAGCAGGUGCCACCGGGCUACAUCAGUUUUGCUGGAGCAUCUCCUGUAGCUAAGAAGUAACCAGAGUGUAGAGCUUGGCAGACCAAGCCGACUGUCAGGCUGCACAUCCAGACACGGCCCCUCCCUCGGCCGGCAGGAGUCCACCUGUGUGCAGGCUGUUGGUGCUGGGAGGUGGGGGAUACAUCUCCUCAACCACCAGUUUCAAAGGCGGUGACCACCCCCACCACGAAAAAAUAAACUGCUCCGGAUGCACGCAGAGGGCAGAGCCAUGUCCAACAGUGGAGCCCACGUCCCACAAGCAAGAGCUUUACUGGCCUCCGUAGAGAAUAAUGUUUAUUUCUGCAUUCGAACGGUCAAUUCCUCAUGGAGAGUCCAUGUUGAAGUUUCCAAGUCAAAGGGCAAGCACCUCAUCCACCACGGAGAGAGACCCUGACCCUGUGCCAGCCUCGCGGGGAGCAGAGGGAAGAAGAACGGAUGCGCUCCCUGACCCGGAAGGCCCUUCUGCCCCCAUGGGCUGCCCUCGAAGGUGUCCGGAGGCCAAGAAAGCCUAAGAGGGCCAUAGCCACUUGUCAGAUCAGUUCACGGUGUUUGGAAUGGAUUACAGAAUAAUUGUCUUAUCGAUA